UACGUAGGUGGCGAGCGUUAUCCGGAAUUAUUGGGCGUAAAGCGCGCGCAGGCGGUUCCUUAAGUCUGAUGUGAAAGCCCCACGGCUCAACCGUGGAGGGUCAUUGGAAACUGGGGAACUUGAGUGCAGAAGAGAAGAGCGGAAUUCCACGUGUAGCGGUGAAAUGCGUAGAGAUGUGGAGGAACACCAGUGGCGAAGGCGGCUCUUUGGUCUGUAACUGACGCUGAGGCGCGAAAGCGUGGGGAGCAAACAGG
rnacentral:rRNA from 1 species